CGGUAAUACGGAGGGUGCGAGCGUUAAUCGGAAUUACUGGGCGUAAAGACGCAUGCAGGUGGUUUGUUAAGUCAGAUGUGAAAGACCCGGGGCGUCAACCUCGGAAUAGCAUUUGAAACUAGGCAGACUAGAGUACUGUAGAGGGGGGUAGGAAUUUCAGGUGUAGCGGUGAAAUAGCGUAGAGAUCUGAAGGAAUACCGGUGGCGAAGGCGGCCCCCUCGGACAGAUACUGACACUCAGAUGCGAAAGCGUGGGGAGCAAACAGGAUUAGAUACCCUGGUAG
rnacentral:rRNA from 1 species